GGAAGGAUCAUUAACACGUAUCCACGUAUACACCCCCUGUGCAUCUGUUUUCUACCCCUUUGUCUCUGUGUCGUGCAUGAGUUGGCUGUCUAAUGGUGCGGCGUCGAUUGAGUGGGACACGCCUUGCGCGGGUCACAACGACGCACCACAUCCGUCGGACCGAUCUCGGUCCGACAUACAACUGCAGCACACACGGAUUUCUCUACAGCAGGCUCUCCAUUCAAGAGUCUCGAUGCAGGGAGCACAUAUCACAAUUUCACCCCCUUUUUGCUAGUUGACUUUUUAUAUGUUGCUCACCGACUGCGCGAUUUACUUCGCUCUGCCUGUGUGCACACGUUUCAUUAUUUGAACGUUAAAACAACAACUCUUAGCAAUGGAUAUCUUGGUUCUCGCAACGAUGAAGAACGCAGCGAAAUGCGAUACGUGAUGCGAAUUGCAGAAUUCAGUGAAUCAUCAAAUCUUUGAACGCACAUUGCGCUCUUGGGUAGCCCUAGGAGCACGCCUCUCUCAGUAUCGGUUCAACCACCUCUCAGCAGCGUAUGUCUCACAGACACACGCGUUGGCUGGAGAAUGAGAGUCUGGGACACACACUGUCGCAGUCUCUUGAAAUGUAUGGAGCGAUGGGAACCUCAGCGCCUCAGCGUCGCCGCCUCCUCACGGACGGUGGUGACUAGCAGCGGAGCGACGGUCGCCUGCAAGUGACGUGAAUACUGGCCCUCUGUGGUCUCCCUUUACGUGUAUCUUGUGUGGUGGCUCUAACGUCGCCUGCCGUGAACGAGCGUUCGAAGCCCACCUGCGAAUCGUGGCGCAAGCUACAAUCGGCUCGACGAUGGUCAUCCUCUAAGGAUCGGCCAGCAGCGAGUCUGAAUUUUGAUCUGAGAUGAAGCGAGACAACCCCCUGAAUUUAAGCAUAUUAAUAAGGGGAGGAAAAGAAACUAACAAGGAUUCCCCCAGUAACGGCGAGUGAAGCGGGAAGAGCUCAAUUUGAAAAUCGAUUACCUAAGCGGGUCAUCGAGUUGUAGCCUAGAGACGUACCAUCAGCUGAAACCUGGGUAUAAGUUCUUUGGAAUGAGACACGAUACAGGGUGAGAGUCCCGUAUAUGAUCCAAAGCUUUCAGCGUACGAUGUAUGUUCCUCGAGUCGAGUUGUUUGGGAUUGCAGCUCUAAAUGGGUGGUAAGUUUCAUCUAAAGCUAAAUAAUGGCGAGAGACCGAUAGCGAACAAGUACCGUGAGGGAAAGAUGAAAAGAACUUUGAAAAGAGAGUUAAAAGUACUUGAAAUUGCUAAGAGGGAAGCGCUGUCAACCAGUGAUAUGCGUCAUUCAUCGUUCCCAGCCCCACUAGACGUUGCGAGUUGUAUUUAACUCUGCUUGCGGCGUCGACAGGGUGGUUGUGAGCUGUUCGGAUGGCGUGUCAGUCAAGAUCCAUUCGAUGAGGGGAAGAAGGACGUCGGUAAGGUAGGAGAUCCGUCUCUGUUAUAGACCGAUGUCUCUACCUCGCGUUGGAUGGAGGAAGGAAUAGUGCGCCGCUUGCGGCUUAGUCGCGUGCUCCUGUGUAUUUAGUUACCUUGAUAGCAAUGCUAUCCUGGCGACGAGUGUGCAUACUGGGUGCGACGAUUCUCUGUGCUAUCACGAUCUUGUACGAAAUGGUUGUCAUCGACCCGUCUUGAAACACGGACCAAGGAGUCUAACAUCUAUGCGAGUAUUUGAGUGCAAAACUCUGAUGCGCAAUGAAAGUAAAGGCAGCUUCGGCUGCUGAGGUAGGAAUCCGGUCACACGGAGGCACUAUCGACCGAUCAUCACUUGUGAAAGAUUUGAGUAAGAGCAUAUCUGUUGGGACCCGAAAGAUGGUGAUCUAUGCCUGAACAGGGUGAAGCCAGGGGAAACUCUGGUGGAGGCUCGUAGCGAUACUGACGUGCAAAUCGUUCGUCUGAUUUGGGUAUAGGGGCGAAAGACUAAUCGAACCAUCUAGUAGCUGGUUCCCUC
rnacentral:misc_RNA from 1 species